AUUGAACGCUGGCGGCAGGCUUAACACAUGCAAGUCGAGCGGAGCGGCGGACGGGUGAGCAAUGCCUAGGAAUCUGCCUGGUAGUGGUGGAUAACGUUCGCAAACGGGCGCUAAUACCGCAUACUCUCAGAUGAGCCUAGGCCGGACUGGCUAGUUGGUGGGGUAAAGGUCUACCAAGGCGACGACCCGUAACUGGUCUUGGAGGAUGAUCAGUCACACUGGAACUGGGACACGGUCCAGACUCCUACGGGAGGCAGCAGUGGGGAAUAUUGGACAAUGGGCGAAAGCCUGAUCCAGCCAUGCCGCGGUUGUGAAGAAGGUCUUCGGAUUGUAAAGCACUUGAAGUUGGGAGGCGUGACCAACAGAAUAAGCACCGGCUAACUUCGUGCCAGCAGCCGCGGUAGUA
rnacentral:rRNA from 1 species